rnacentral:rRNA from 1 species
UGGGGGCCUACGGGAGGCAGCAGUGGGGAAUUUUGGACAAUGGGCGCAAGCCUGAUCCAGCAAUGCCGCGUGAGUGAAGAAGGCCUUCGGGUUGUAAAGCUCUUUUGUCAGGGAAGAAACGGCUCUGGCUAAUAUCCGGGGUUAAUGACGGUACCUGAAGAAUAAGCACCGGCUAACUACGUGCCAGCAGCCGCGGUAAUACGUAGGGUGCAAGCGUUAAUCGGAAUUACUGGGCGUAAAGCGUGCGCAGGCGGUUUUGCAAGUCUGAUGUGAAAUCCCCGGGCUCAACCUGGGAAUUGCAUUGGAGACUGCAAGGCUAGAAUGUGUCAGAGGGGGGUAGAAUUCCACGUGUAGCAGUGAAAUGCGUAGAGAUGUGGAGGAACACCGAUGGCGAAGGCAGCCCCCUGGGAUAACAUUGACGCUCAUGCACGAAAGCGUGGGGAGCAAACAGGAUUAGAUACCCUGGUAGUCCACGCCCUAAACGAUGUCUACUAGUUGUCGGGGUUUAAUUUCCUUG